rnacentral:rRNA from 1 species
UUUGACCUCAGAUCAGGUAGGACUACCCGCUGAACUUAAGCAUAUCAAUAAGCGGAGGAAAAGAAACUAACAAGGAUUCCCCUAGUAACGGCGAGUGAAGAGGGAAAAGCUCAAAUUUGAAAUCUGGCAGCUUACAGUUGCCCGAGUUGUAAUCUAGAGAAGUGUUUUCCGUGCUGGACCGUGUACAAGUCCUUUGGAACAAGGCGUCAUAGAGGGUGAGAAUCCCGUCUACGACACGGACUACCAGUGCUUUGUGAUACACUCUCAACGAGUCGAGUUGUUUGGGAAUGCAGCUCAAAAUGGGUGGUAAAUUCCAUCUAAAGCUAAAUAUGGGCGAAAGACCGAUAGCGAACAAGUACCGUGAGGGAAAGAUGAAAAGCACUUUGGAAAGAGAGUUAAACAGUACGUGAAAUUGUUGAAAGGGAAACGCUUGAAGUCAGUCGCGUCUUCAGAAAUUCAGCUUGGCUUCUGCCUGGUGUACUUUUCUGUUGGACGGGCCAGCAUCGGUUUCGGUCGCCAGAAAAAGGUGGGGGGAAGGUGGCACCUCCGGGUGUGUUAUAGCCUCUCAUCGUAUGUGGCGGCUGGGACUGAGGACUGCAGCACGCCUUUAUGGCCGGGGUUCGCCCACGUAACGUGCUUAGGAUGCUGGCGUAAUGGCUUUAAGCGACCCGUCUUGAAACACGGACCAAGGAGUCUAACAUGCCUGCGAGUAUUUGGGUGGUAAACCCAUAUGCGGAAUGAAAGUGAACAGUUGGGACUUCUGUCAUGGAAGGCACCGACGCCCGGACCAGACCUAUUGUGACGGAUCCGAGGUAGAGCAUGUAUGUUGGGACCCGAAAGAUGGUGAACUAUGCCUGAGUAGGGUGAAGCCAGAGGAAACUCUGGUGGAGGCUCGUAGCGAUUUUGACGUGCAAAUCGAUCGUCGAACUUGGGUAUAGGGGCGAAAGACUAAUCGAAC